GGGGAUGCCCGGUUUCGACAGGGGAAUGGAAAAAGGAGAAGCGAGCCGUCAGGCAGAUGACGUUAAUCAGGCGAAACCAAUAACUGCUAACGACAACGAAUUAGCUUACGCAGCCUAACCAUGGCUGCCGGUCCUCCGGCUGGACCCGUAACAGACGGACUGACCUCAAUCAUUUCGGGAAACUUCCUGCGCUAAGCUUUGCCCGCAGGUUGGAUUCAUGAAGCUACCGAAUGCUAUCGUUUGUUUAUUUCACCGGUCAUUCGGGAAACAACCGAAAUAAACUGCGCUCGGAGAAACUCGUUCGGAUGUUCUCUUGGACGAGGGUUCGAUUCCCUCCAUCUCCA
rnacentral:tmRNA from 1 species